ensembl:lincRNA Gm13842 predicted gene 13842
CCCAGAUCUUAGGAAGUGAGCUGAGACAUUAGAAACAAAGAAACAAACAAGCCUCAAGUAUCUUUAGGCAACUACUUUUUUAGGUUUUAAAAGAUUUUAUGGAGAGUGUUCCCAAGGAGGCCAGAAGAGAAUGUUCAGCCCCCCUGCACUGGACUUACAGUUUGUGUCUGGGGAUUGAACUCGGGUCAUCAGAAUACAAGCAUCUAUACCACUGAGCCAUCUCUCCAGCCAGCACCUUUGAUUCUGUGUUGAUUGUUCCUGUUGGAAAGAGGCUAGAGUCAGCCCAUGAGGUAUACAAACCAGACAGCACAGUCUUGAGAAGAGGGUUCAGCCAAGAUCUCAGUGCUCACUUGCCUUCUGUAGCGGGCAUCCCCGCAAGCAGAGCUCACUUGUGCAAUCCCGGGAACUGGGCUGUCUUGUUGGCUGGAAAACACAAGAUCUUCCGGCUAUGCACGUGGGUGUCUGGGUAUCACCGGAUGGUGCUUUCACCGUUAUCUGAGUAAGAGCAGAAGUCUGGAGGCUGUCCGGGCACAUCAAAGCAUGUGCAGAGCUCAGAUAAAGGCCUUCUGGUUGCGCCCUCCUCAUUGCCUGCGGGAGAACGUGGGGACCAUGCUCAUCCCGGAACGUUCAACGGGUUCAGAUUUCAUGGAGUAAACUCAACCUUGUUGGUCGUUGGUUCCAGAAAAUUCUCCUUGGCCCUCACUCAGCCCUUCUCCUAGCUCAGAGAGAAUUCCUUCCGAACUGCGCCUUUACCUUCCUGUGGUCCACCCCUCCUCUGUAAAGAUUCCUUUACACUUGGAGCAUCUCUUAUUUUUGCUCACAGCCUCACUGGCAAAUAAAUAAAGAGAAGUAUAUAAACACACAA